UAUUAGUAUUUUACUAAUUUUUAUUUUAAUGAAAAAAUUGAACCAGUUGAGAGGAGAAAAAUGUAAUGAUGGCUUGUAGAGAGUAUCUAAUAAUUUCUCACUUGAGAAACUUUCUACCCUCUCUUCUCUUUUUAUUAUUAUUAUUAUUUUAUUAGUGAAAAACUCUCUUGAAAGACUACCAAUGGAGAUGGUUUAAGAAUCUACAUUAAAU
rnacentral:sRNA from 1 species